UACGUAGGGUGCGAGCGUUAAUCGGAAUUACUGGGCGUAAAGCGUGCGCAGGCGGUGACUCAAGUCAGAUGUGAAAUCCCCGGGCUUAACCUGGGAACUGCAUUUGAAACUAGGUCGCUAGAGUGUAGCAGAGGGGGGUAGAAUUCCACGUGUAGCAGUGAAAUGCGUAGAGAUGUGGAGGGAUACCGAUGGCGAAGGCAGCCCCUGGGUUAACACUGACGCUCAUGCACGAAAGCGUGGGGAGCAAACAGGAUUAGAUACCCGUGUAGU
rnacentral:rRNA from 1 species